GACGAACGCUGGCGGCGUGCUUAACACAUGCAAGUCGAACGGAAAGGCCCUGCUUUUGUGGGGUGCUCGAGUGGCGAACGGGUGAGUAACACGUGAGUAACCUGCCCUUGACUUUGGGAUAACUUCAGGAAACUGGGGCUAAUACCGGAUAGGAGCUCCUGCUGCAUGGUGGGGGUUGGAAAGUUUCGGCGGUUGGGGAUGGACUCGCGGCUUAUCAGCUUGUUGGUGGGGUAGGGGCUUACCAAGGCUUUGAGGGGUAGCCGGGCUGAGAGGGUGACCGGCCACAUUGGGACUGAGAGACGGCGCAGACGCCAACGGGAGGCAGCAGUGGGGAAUAUUGCACAGUGGGCGGAAGCCUGAUGCAGCAACGCCGCGUGCGGGAUGACGGCCUUCGGGUUGUAAACCGCUUUCGCCUGUGACGAAGCGUGAGUGACGGUAAUGGGUAAAGAAGCACCGGCUAACUACGUG
rnacentral:rRNA from 1 species